ensembl:snoRNA U8 U8 small nucleolar RNA
UAGUCAGGCAGGAUAACCCUUACCUGUUCCUCCUUCUGGAGGGCAGUGGAAUGUGGUAAUCAGGGUUGCAGGAUACUUGAUUAACGUCUCUGUGUAAUGAGGGCUUGCAGUAUCCUCACUGGUCUUCCUGAA